UGCACAUACAUGGUACCAUAAGCUUAUUUUAAGUCAGUUUUUUCUAAAGUGAGUUGUCCUCUUGAACAAAGCAAAACUUUUAACUUGACCACAAAUCAGGCACAACUAUUGAGCUUCAAAGUUUAAAUAUUUAGUGAUGAUUUUUAUCUAGGCUAGGAGAAUUCAGUAAUAAGGUGAGGCCCCCGGUAAAAUCUGACCACAAAGAAAAUGAAAUUUUGUUGAACAAGCCUUAAGUCGUGUAUCUAAAUGACUCUUUCAAAGUAUGUUAUGUUCCCAAUGUUUUAGAAGUGAAUUUAGAGAUCUUAAAAGGCCAUAUAUUAAAAGGCCACUUAAUUAUAGUUACAUAAAGUUUAAAAUUUUUUUCACCCACCUUGAUUACUUGUCCACUAGAAUUGGCUCCAAAUGAUUUGUUGCUGUUUCAAAAAGUCAAAUACACCCACAAAGAGGUGAAGAUUGACUGCCACUGAGGAUGUUUAAAAAAAAUAAUAAAUGGCUUCUGAAGAGGACACCGAAGUUUCCACAGGUUCGCCAGUGGCAGGCAGUGGGGUGGAACAAGUAGAGCCUCGCACAGCAACUGCACUGAAGGAGACGACUCGUUUGGAUGUAAAAAUGCCGGGUACUGGCUGAGCACCUGUAUGUACGAGACAGACCUUGGCUGAGAGAGCCUCUUCAGGCCACCUGGACUCCGUGGAUCGAAGCCCCUUCCUGAGGUUCAAAGCCAGCAGCACAGCGUCUACCAACCUCUCGUUGUCUCUGCCUCCCCUGCCUCCCCAUUCACUUAUAAGGACCCUUCUGACGGUACUGGACUCACCCAGAUGAUCCAGAAUAAUCUUGUAACCUCAAGAUCCUUAACUUAAUCACGGCCAGGAGGCAAGAUGUCAGGCCCCUCCUGGGAGAUCCCAGGCUCCGAGUGGUUCUCUGGAAGCUCCCUCCACUUGGCCUGAGGUGAAGAUUCAGGUCCUCAGCUUACCCGCUACUCUCCUCAAAUAAGUUCCACCACUCUCAUCCUAUUCACCAACGUCCCCACCUCCUCUUUACAUCCUGUGGCAGGUGAUGGAACUCAGGGUCCCUGGACUGGGUUUUAUGGGUCACUGCUUAGCAAGUUCUGUGUGGAUGGUCUAGCUCUCAUCCUUAGAAUGUGUGGUGGCCCCAUCAUAGCCCUAGUUCUUAGCUUUGAGGUAUCAGCUGAAAUUCUAUAGCAGUAGAAACCCACCCCCACCCCCCGUAUCAUCCUGCUACAGAAUAAUGGAGUUUGUCAUGUUUCCCUUUUCUCCUUAAUUGUGAAGGCCAAGUUUAAGUUCUGUUUUU